UGCAUAUACAGAUGCAGGAGAUAUAUGGGGUUUCUGGUUACUUCUUGAAGGGAGAUGAAGUGACUAAGAAAAAGCAAUUGCAGACACGUAAACUGACAGAGGUGACUGCAAGCGAUAAGCUUGAGAGUUUUCGUGCAGGAAAAAGGUCCUCAAGGGUCAUAUUGCACUUGGGAAUGCUCAAUUUCCGAAUGGAAUCAACCGUAUUUUAUUUUAUUUUUUAAAUUAUGUAUUUCAUUUUAAGUGAAAUGUAUUGACUAUAUUCUUGUAAGAUUGUGUGAUGGGAAGGUACAUGUUCAUUUUCCUUCAGGUAAUGCCCUAGACAUUCUUGCUUGAGUUCCACUAUAGAAAAAUGGUCUUGAUUAUCGGCAUGGUACAGGCCACGGAAUUAGGUCUUACCUUAAUGUUCAUGAAGGCAAGUGUGUUUUACUACUUUCCUCUAUUAUUACUGGGUAUGAGCUAUUGCCUCAAUUGUUAGAUUUGAACCUUUAUACUUCUUUAUGGAUACUCUAGAUAUUUAAUUAUUUUCUUUGAAACAUAUAUGCUAAAUAUUGUAACUAACCGCAGAUAUUUCGUUUGAUUUC